GACAGAGGGUGCAAACGUUGUUCGGAAUUACUGGGCGUAAAGCGCGUGUAGGCGGCUAAGUAAGUCGGGCGUGAAAUCCCACGGCUCAACCGUGGAAGUGCACUCGAAACUGCAUAGCUAGAGUCCUGGAGAGGAAGGUGGAAUGCUUGGUGUAGAGGUGAAAUUCGUAGAUAUCAAGCGGAACACCGGUGGCGAAGGCGGCCUUCUGGACAGUGACUGACGCUGAGGCGCGAAAGCUGGGGGAGCGAACGGGG
rnacentral:rRNA from 1 species